GCCGGGAUAGCUCAGUUGGNAGAGCAGAGGACUGAAAAUCC
rnacentral:tRNA from 4 species